rnacentral:misc_RNA from 1 species
GAUGAAGAACGCAGCGAAAUGCGAUACUUGGUGUGAAUUGCAGAAUCCCGUGAACCAUCGAGUCUUUGAACGCAAGUUGCGCCCGAAGCCACUAGGCCGAGGGCACGCCUGCCUGGGCGUCACACGCCGUUGCCCCCCCAUCUACUCCUUCGGGAUUGCGGGGGGGCGGAUGAUGGCCUCCCGUGCGCCUAGCCGCGCGGUUGGCAUAAAUACCAAGUCCUCGGCGACGCACGCCACGACAAUCGGUGGUUGCGAAACCUCGGUUGCCCGUCGUGUGCGUUCGUCGCGCAUCGAGGGCUCGAAAAAAUGCUCGGCUCCGGCUGGGCUUUCAACGCGACCCCAGGUCAGGCGGGGUUACCCGCUGAAUUUAAGCAUAUCAAUAAGCGGAGGA